rnacentral:rRNA from 1 species
GAUGGGAGCUUGCUCCCUGAUGUUAGCGGCGGACGGGUGAGUAACACGUGGGUAACCUGCCUGUAAGACUGGGAUAACUCCGGGAAACCGGGGCUAAUACCGGAUGCUUGAUUGAACCGCAUGGUUCAAUUAUAAAAGGUGGCUUUUAGCUACCACUUACAGAUGGACCCGCGGCGCAUUAGCUAGUUGGUGAGGUAACGGCUCACCAAGGCAACGAUGCGUAGCCGACCUGAGAGGGUGAUCGGCCACACUGGGACUGAGACACGGCCCAGACUCCUACGGGAGGCAGCAGUAGGGAAUCUUCCGCAAUGGACGAAAGUCUGACGGAGCAACGCCGCGUGAGUGAUGAAGGUUUUCGGAUCGUAAAACUCUGUUGUUAGGGAAGAACAAGUACCGUUCGAAUAGGGCGGUACCUUGACGGUACCUAACCAGAAAGCCACGGCUAACUACGUGCCAGCAGCCGCGGUAAUACGUAGGUGGCAAGCGUUGUCCGGAAUUAUUGGGCGUAAAGCGCGCGCAGGCGGUUUCUUAAGUCUGAUGUGAAAGCCCCCGGCUCAACCGGGGAGGGUCAUUGGAAACUGGGGAACUUGAGUGCAGAAGAGGAGAGUGGAAUUCCACGUGUAGCGGUGAAAUGCGUAGAGAUGUGGAGGAACACCAGUGGCGAAGGCGACUCUCUGGUCUGUAACUGACGCUGAGGCGCGAAAGCGUGGGGAGCGAACAGGAUUAGAUACCCUGGUAGUCCACGCCGUAAACGAUGAGUGCUAAGUGUUAGAGGGUUUCCGCCCUUUAGUGCUGCAGCAAACGCAUUAAGCACUCCGCCUGGGGAGUACGGUCGCAAGACUGAAACUCAAAGGAAUUGACGGGGGCCCGCACAAGCGGUGGAGCAUGUGGUUUAAUUCGAAGCAACGCGAAGAACCUUACCAGGUCUUGACAUCCUCUGACAACCCUAGAGAUAGGGCUUCCCCUUCGGGGGCAGAGUGACAGGUGGUGCAUGGUUGUCGUCAGCUCGUGUCGUGAGAUGUUGGGUUAAGUCCCGCAACGAGCGCAACCCUUGAUCUUAGUUGCCAGCAUUCAGUUGGGCACUCUAAGGUGACUGCCGGUGACAAACCGGAGGAAGGUGGGGAUGACGUCAAAUCAUCAUGCCCCUUAUGACCUGGGCUACACACGUGCUACAAUGGGCAGAACAAAGGGCAGCGAAGCCGCGAGGCUAAGCCAAU